UUUGCCCCUCGAGACGUAACUGUGGCACUGAUGCCACUGUUGUGCCAUAAGUGGGCAAACAGAAACUGGCUUGAGUCGGGCCUGCAUGCCCUGUGCAGUGGGCUGUGGGCAUGGUAAUCAGCCAGAUAAA